GAGACAGCAGCCCCGCGGUAAUACGAAGGGGGCUAGCGUUGCUCGGAAUUACUGGGCGUAAAGGGAGCGUAGGCGGACAUUUAAGUCAGGGGUGAAAUCCCAGAGCUCAACUCUGGAACUGCCUUUGAUACUGGGUGUCUUGAGUGUGAUAGAGGUAUGUGGAACUCCGAGUGUAGAGGUGAAAUUCGUAGAUAUUCGGAAGAACACCAGUGGCGAAGGCGACAUACUGGAUCAUUACUGACGCUGAGGCUCGAAAGCGUGGGGAGCAAACAGGAUUAGAUACCCGCGUAGUCCCUGUCUCUUAUACA
rnacentral:rRNA from 1 species